rnacentral:snoRNA from 1 species
UUCGUCUAUUUGACAGACCUGGAGCAGCUAAAGUCUGCUUCUAAGGUUCCCACUACAGAUGCAAGAGAAAAGAUGCUCGCAUUUUCUGAUUGUGGCAGCCAAGACUGAAUGGGGGAUGCAAGA